GACUCUCGGCAAUGGAUAUCUCGUCUCUCGCAUCGAUAAAGAAUUUAGCAAAAUGUGAUACUUUGUGUGAAUUGCAGGAUCCCACGAACCACUAAGUCUUUGAACGCAAGUUGCACCUAGAGCCUUUUGGCCGAGGGCACGUCUGCCUGGGCGUCA